rnacentral:rRNA from 1 species
GUGGGGAAUUUUGGACAAUGGGCGCAAGCCUGAUCCAGCCAUGCCGCGUGCAGGAUGAAGGCCUUCGGGUUGUAAACUGCUUUUGUACGGAACGAAAAGACUUCUUCUAAUACAGGAGGUCCAUGACGGUACCGUAAGAAUAAGCACCGGCUAACUACGUGCCAGCAGCCGCGGUAAUACGUAGGGUGCAAACGUUAAUCGGAAUUACUGGGCGUAAAGCGUGCGCAGGCGGUUAUAUAAGACAGAUGUGAAAUCCCCGGGCUCAACCUGGGAACUGCAUUUGUGACUGUAUAGCUAGAGUACGGUAGAGGGGGAUGGAAUUCCGCGUGUAGCAGUGAAAUGCGUAGAUAUGCGGAGGAACACCGAUGGCGAAGGCAAUCCCCUGGACCUGUACUGACGCUCAUGCACGAAAGCGUGGGGAGCAAACAGGAUUAGAUACCCUAGUAGUCC